GGGUGAGUAACGCGUAAGGAACUUGCCUCUUGGUCUGGGACAACUGUUGGAAACGACAGCUAAUACCGGAUAUUAUGAGAUUCUCGCAUGGGAAACUUAUGAAAGCUAUAUGCGCCAAGAGAGAGCCUUGCGUUCCAUUAGCUAGUUGGUGGGGUAACGGCCCACCAAGGCGACGAUGGAUAGCCGGCCUGAGAGGGUGAACGGCCACAAGGGGACUGAGACACGGCCCUUACUCCUACGGGAGGCAGCAGUGGGGAAUAUUGGACAAUGGGCCACAAGCCUGAUCCAGCAAUUCUGUGUGCACGAUGAAGGUCUUCGGAUUGUAAAGUGCUUUCAGUUGGGAAGAAGAAAGUGAUGGUACCAACAGAAGAAGCGACGGCUAAAUACGUGCCAGCAGCCGCGGUAAUACGUAUGUCGCAAGCGUUAUCCGGAUUUAUUGGGCGUAAAGCGCGUCUAGGCGGAAAAAUAAGUCUGAUGUUAAAAUGCGGGGCUCAACUCCGUAUUGCGUUGGAAACUGUUUUUCUAGAGUACUGGAGAGGUGGGCGGAACUACAAGUGUAGAGGUGAAAUUCGUAGAUAUUUGUAGGAAUGCCGAUGGAGAAGUCAGCUCACUGGACAGAUACUGACGCUAAAGCGCGAAAGCGUGGGGAGCAAACAGGAUUAGAUACCCUGGUAGUCCACGCCGUAAACGAUGAUCACU
rnacentral:rRNA from 1 species